CCUGCUGUAGGUGGCCGAUUUCAGUGCCUUUCCCUUUAAAUGCUAAUGAGCUACAGCGUGCACCGCCCAAGGUGCCGCUCACCUCUUAGUGCUUUGCAAAGACAUGAGGACGACAUCAUGUGACCAUAGCAAUGGCUGAGUUUGUGGAAGAAAUGACUACCGGACAACAGACUGCAAUGGAACCUUACAUGUUCGAGCUGGGGUCCGACCCAGAACAACAAGAGAGGCUCCAGAAGAAAGUCAGUAGCCAAGAAGGAACAUGAAUGUUUCUCAGUGGUUAGUAGUUACGUUUGUUACCUCAACAUUACUUUUAUGUUACUGCAGACGAACAAAAGUUUUAAGGGCUUACUGGCCGUCUGCCCAUGUUGUUAAAGAUAACAACCCCCCUCUCCUGCCUCAAGUGUUUACAUCAUAAAGCUUAGCCAAACUUCGGCUGGCGUUUACUUCUGUUCAAUUGCAGUAACUCGGAUGCAAUUGCAAUUGCCAUUACAAGAGAAAAGCGUAACCUCAUACCUUUAUGUAGCCAGGUUACAUGAAGACUACAGCAGCUUCCUGAGCCACCAUCAUGCAUGGUGGACCGUCCUGGCCUGGUACCUGUCUACCUGAAUGUAUUUGCACUGCAGAAUGCACUGAACAUUUAUCGGGCGGGCUGUGGACCUGUACGUCUGAGAGGAAUAGUGCACCAAUAUAGCCUACAGAAGCUUUGUAAGCUGGUGCUGGGGCUCUCUGGGGCGGAGAGUGAGAGUUGUGCUGCCUGUCUGCGUGGUCCAAGAGGUCUUCAGGGAUUAUGAGUUUCAGCACCUCAUUCACAUAUUGGGGCAGGGUCCUGGAAAACCGUCUUGAAGAUCAGGUCCAACAGUGCAUCACUGCAGUCAGCAUUGCAAUAAACAAAAAUUAAUGUUUACAGGAAGACUGCAGUAGAAC